GAGGAAUCUUGCGCAAUGGCGAAAGCCUGACGCAGCAACGCCGCGUGGGGGAAGAAGGCUUUCGAGUCGUAAACCCCUUUUGCAGGGGAAGAAGAUCUGACGGUACCCUGCGAAUAAGCCACGGCUAACUACGUGCCAGCAGCCGCGGUAAUACGUAGGUGGCAAGCGUUGUCCGGAUUUAUUGGGCGUAAAGGGCGCGUAGGCGGUCCAUUAAGUUCGGGGUGAAAUCUCCCGGCUUAACUGGGAGACGUCCCCGGAUACUGAUGGACUAGAGGGGGGUAGAGGAAGGCGGAAUUCCCGGAGUAGCGGUGAAAUGCGUAGAUACCGGGAGGAACACCGGUGGCGAAGGCGGCCUUCU
rnacentral:rRNA from 1 species